UCUGAGCUGUCAGCACAGAGCCUGCUGUGGGGCUGGAACUCGUGAAUCGGGAGAUCAGGCCCUGAGCAGAAGUCAACGCUCAACAGACUGAGCCACCCAGGCUCCCCUGGCAAUUGGAUUUUUAAGGUUAAGGGGAUAUACAUAGGUAUGGCAGCCUCCAGACGUGGCACUUUGGGGAUUUAGCUCCACUUCCCUGAAAAUCUCCCAGCUCCGACUUCAGCCUCUUGGGUUCAGCCUCAGGCUGGUUGAAAGAUGGCUGCAGUCAGUAUUCAGGCUAUCCUAUCCCCAUAUCUAGGUCAUCUGGAAGACAAAGAAAAGUAGCAGCUCUCCCUGUGUGUCUCUUUCACCAGCUAAGAAUUCUUAGGUUCUUAAGAGAGAUGUCCCCUCACAUUUCGUUGGCCAGGAUUGGGUUUUAUACACCUUCCUAAAUCCAUCACUGGCAGGGGGAAUAGGGCAACUUUGAUUGGCUUAGAUAAGGGGUCAGCAAGCGUCUUCUGUAAAGGGCAAACUAAUACAGUAAGUCCUCUCCCCAUCCGCGGGUUUGCUUUCCACCGUUGUUACCCACCGUCAACCGUGGGUAAUGACUCGUCUGAUAUAUGUUCAGAAGGUCAGUAGAGCCUAACUAACCCUUGGACACAACACCAACGUCAUUCACCUCACCUCAUCUCAUCACUCAGCAUCUUAUCAUCUCACAUCAUCACAGGAAGGACAGUUUGCCCCAGCCACAUUGGCCUCUUCGUCAGUCUCCAGACCCACCAACCUGCUUUUGCCCCGGGGUCUUCACUAUUCUUCAGUUGAAAUGCUCUUCUCCUGGACUACCAGUCUCAUCUCUGGGUGCUGGGGAAUAGCAAUGAACAAAACAAAGAAAAAAACAACAUUGGUAAGUCAUAUAUUGAGUUACCUAUGUAUUACUGAAUAUUUUACAUAAGUUAUUGUUACCUGCAUUUAAUCUUUAUGAUAGUUCUAUAUGAUGGAUGUUAUUAUUCCUAUUUAAAGUUUGAGGAAACUGAAUAUACUAAGCUGUUGAAGGGUAUUUUUCUGGAUUCAGUUGCCAUCUCUCCAAUGCCAAUGUACACAUUCUAAGCAAUAUGCCAUGUAUUCAGGCUUUGUGAAGAAUUCUGAUGUCUGAGGACAGUGGUCACUCUGGGGCAUUUGAUGACUAUGGUUGGAUGACAUUGACACAAGCCUGUUGUUGGCAGAGGAUGUUUGCUGAUUUGGAAUAGUUUCUUCAACAUACCCCUUCCCAGAGCCCCUGUGAGGAAGCACAGCCCUGCUGCUGGGAGGCAGGUGUGCUUUCUGGAGGACACUCCCCAUGUUUCAAAUCACAUCUCUUCUGCUUCUGUUUCCAGCCCCUCUCUAGGCUUCUGUGAGCUUCUGCCUUCAAUGGCUUGUGCCUGUGGCUCCUCUUUGGAAGCCACUUUUAAGCCACUGGAGCCACUUGUGCUUAAAGUACAAAAAGUGGGAAGUGCCUGAGUUUGUCUCCUCUCCACUCUUGUUUCCAGGGGUGGUCAGGAUGAGUGUAAGUUCUGGAAACCUGCCUGAAAUUGUACCCUUGCUUGACCUUUUUGGAUUUCCCCAGUCUCCUACUGGGUUUUCCUCAAAUUUACAUAACAAAAUCACUUGCUCAUAAAUCCUCAUCUCAGGGUCUGGCUUGAGGAAGCCAACUGAAAAUAGUCUCCUAGUUGAAAGCAUCUAGAAAAUGUUUUCCCUAGGAAAGGAAGAGUAUUUGCCACCUGGACUCAGUUCUGCCCUUUUGGAGAAAGCUGCUUGCUGCUGGGUCAGGACUGGUCCUUGACAGUGUCCCUUGGCUGCCUCUUAGAUCGGGGUCCUAAUCUAACCCAGAUUGGCAGGAAAAAUAAGUUGGGCUUAUUUAUUUAGAUGUUGUGUAUGGUUGCCCCAAAUACACACACACACACACACACACACACACACACACACACAAAUAUACAUAUAUGUAGUCCAAUGAAAUAAGUGUUGAAAAAACUUAUUUUUAAGCCCAUUCAUUCCAUGUAGCAUUUAUUGAGCCUUCAUUAUUUUCCAGCAUUAUACAAAAAUAAUAUAUAUUUUUUACCCUUGAGGAACUCAUAAUAUGUAAGGCAGGACAGACAUGGUUAAUAAAAACACAGUGCAGCUGGGUAAGUGCCACAGAGAGGUUGGUAUAAAGUGCCAGAGGCCAGAAGAGGGAGCUAUAACUUCUGGUAGGGAAAAAAAAGGUAGAAAGAUUUCACUGAGAAGAUAACAUUUGAGCUCCUUUUGGAAGAAGGGAGAGAAAUUACCAGAAGGAGAGAGAGUGUUGCCUAGGACGAGAGAACACUGGAAGUAUAAGAAGCAUAGUUUAUUAACGGAUUAAUUUGUAGUGUUUAUUGUUGUUGUUGUUCCCCAC